rnacentral:rRNA from 1 species
GGCACGGUAAGGAUUGACGGACUGAAGGCUCUUUCUCGAUUCCGUGGAAAGUGGUGCAUGGCCGUUUUUGGUUGGUGGAUCGAUCCGUCUGGUUAAUUCCGUUAACGAACGAGACCUCGGCACUCCGAAUAGCGCGGCGGACGUCGCGGCCUCCGGGCCGUCUUCCGCACGAGCCUUCUUAGAGGGACCGUCCCCCGCCGGGGAAGGAGGUGCGAGGCAACGACAGGUCUGUGAUGCCCUUAGAUGUUCUGGGCCGCACGCGCAUUACACUGACGCGUCCAACGGGUGACUCCCGACCCGAAGGGGCCGGGGAAUCCGCAAGGCGCGUCGUGAUGGGGAUUGAACGUUGCAAUUGUUGUUCACGAACGAGGAAUUCCUAGUAGGCGCGGGUCAUCAACCCGCGCCGAUUACGUCCCUGCCCUUUGUACACACCGCU